UCCUUCUAUUAUGUUGAUGCAAAAGUAAUUGCGGUUUUUGCCAUUGAAAGGGAUGGUAAAAACUGCAAUUACUUUUGCACCAACCUAAUAAUUCUACUAUUUUAGUU
rnacentral:miRNA from 10 species